AAUCUUGGACAAUGGGGGGAACCCCGAUCCAGCCAUUCCGCGUGUGCGAUGAAGGCCUUCGGGUUGUAAAGCACUUUUGGCAGGGCAGAAAUUGCGCGGGCUAAUACCCUGCGUGGAUGACGGUACCUGCAGAAUAAGCACGGGCUACUUACGUGCCAGCAGCCGCGGUAAUACGUAGGGUGCAAGCGUUAAUCGGAAUUACUGGGCGUAAAGGGUGCGCAGGCGGCUCGGAAAGAAAGAUGUGAAAUCCCAGGGCUCAACCUUGGAACUGCAUUUUUAACAACCGGGCUAUAGAGUGUCAGAGGGAGGUGGAAUUCCGCGUGUAGCAGUGAAAUGCGUAGAUAUGCGGAGGAACACCGAUGGCGAAGGCAGCCUCCUGGGAUAACACUGACGCUCAGGCACGAAAGCGUGGGGAGAAAACA
rnacentral:rRNA from 1 species